GACGAACGCUGGCGGCGUGCUUAACACAUGCAAGUCGAACGGAAAGGCCCUGCUUUUGUGGGGUGCUCGAGUGGCGAACGGGUGAGUAACACGUGAGUAACCUGCCCUUGACUUUGAGAUAACUUCAGGAAACUGGGGCUAAUACCGGAUAGGAGCUCCUGCUGCAGGGUGGGGGUUGGAAAGUUUCGGCGGUUGGGGAUGGACUCGCGGCUUAUCAGCUUGUUGGUGGGGUAGUGGCUUACCAAGGCUUUGACGGGUAGCCGGCCUGAGAGGGUGACCGGCCACAUUGGGACUGAGAUACGGCCCAGACUCCUACGGGAGGCAGCAGUGGGGAAUAUUGCACAAUGGGCGGAAGCCUGAUGCAGCAACGCCGCGUGCGGGAUGACGGCCUUCGGGUUGUAAACCGCUUUCGCCUGUGACGAAGCGUGAGUGACGGUAAUGGGUAAAGAAGCACCGGCUAACUACGUG
rnacentral:rRNA from 1 species